CUCCUGGGUAAAAGCAGGGUAGGCCGUGAGUUCCCCUGCCUGGAUGGCUGUCUGUAUAAGGGCUGUGAUCCUGGGCUCGUCCUCCUGAGAGCAGCAAAGGGCUGAGGCCAUGAUGGCGUCCAUGUUCCCCUGGUGCUGCAGGCGGAUAAAGAAAGUCAAGAAGCUGGGGAGAUACAGAGGAAGAUGCUACUGGGUGAUGCUGAUGACAGUCUUGUAAUGAUUAAGGUCUUCGGGAGCACGAUCUGGGUGAACCCUGAGCGACACCUUGUAGUAGCUGUGUCGGAUCUCUGCGUCUGUCGCCUCCUUGGAAACGCCCAGCACCCCAUAGAGGCUGGAGGUGUUGAACAGUGCUUGACACUGGUCGAGUAGCCACAUCCCGAUCUGUCAACUUUAGGUUAAAAGGGAAAUCUGCAAUUGAAACUAUGAAAUAACACAUAUCGAAUCAUGUCGUAACCAAAAAAAGUGUUCAACAAAUCUCAAUAUAUUUAAUCUUUGAGAUUCUUCAAAGUAGCCACCCUUUGCCUUCAUGACAGUUUUGCACAUUCUUGGCAUUCUCUCAACCAACUUCAUGAGAUAGUCACCUAGAAUGCAUUUCAAUCAACAGGUAUGCCUUCUUAAAAGUUAAUUUGUGGAAUUUCUUUCCUUUGUGUUUGAGACAAAUCAGUUGUGUUGUGACAAGGUAGGCAGGUAUAGAGAAGACAGCCCUAUUUGGUAAAAGACCAAGUCCAUAUUAUGGCGUGAACAGCUCAAAUAAGCAAAGAGAAAAGACAUUCCAUCAUUACUUUAAGACAUGAAGGUCAGCCAAUGAGGAACAUUUCAAGAACAUUAAUAAUGUAUUCAAGUGCAGUCGCAAAAAUAAUAAUAAUAAUAAUAAUAAAUGCCAUUUAGCAGACGCUUUUAUCCAAAGCGACUUACAGUCAUGUGUGCAUACAAAAACCAUCAAGCGCUAUGAUGAAACUGGCUCUCAUGAGGACCGCCACAGGAAAGGAAUACCCAGAGUUACCUAUGUUGCAGAGGAUAAGUUCAUUAGAGUUACCAGCUUCAGAAAUGGCAGCCCACAUAAAUGCUUCACAGAUUUCAAGUAACAGACACAUCUCAACAUCAGCUGUUCAGAAGAGACUGCGUGAAUCAGGCCUUCAUGGUCAAAUUUCUGCAGAGAAAUCACUACUAUAGGUUACCAAUAAGAAGAGACUUGCCUGGCCUCCACAGUCACCCGACCUCAAAACAAUUGAGAUGGUUUGAGAUGAGUUGGACCUCAGAGUGAAGGAAAAGCAGCCAACAAGUGCUCAACAUAUGUGGGAACUCCUUCAAGACUGUUGAAAAAGCAUUCCAGGUUAAGCUGGUUGAGAGAAUGCCAAAAUUGUGCAAAGCUGUCAUCAAGGCAAAUGGUGGCUACUUUGUUUAACACUUGUUUGGUUACUACCUGAUUCCAUCUUUAAAAAUAUUUGUAUAUAUUUCACCUUUCUUUAACCAGGUAGGCCAGUUGAGGCAAGUUCUCAUUUACAACUGUGACCUGGCCAAGAUAAAGCAGUGUGACAAAAACAACAACACAGAGUUACACAUGGGAUAAACAAACAUACAGUCAAUAACACAAUACAAAAAUAUAUGUACAGUAUGUGCAAAUGUAGUAAGAUUAGGGAGGUAAGGCAAUAGGAGAAAUAAUUACAAUUUAGCAUUAACACUAGAGUGAUAUAUGUGCAGAUGAUAAUGUGCAAGUAGAGAUACUGGGGUGCAAAAUAGCAAAAAUAAAUAAAGUGUUGAAGGCUUCACUAUUAUACUACAAUGUAGAAAAUAGUACAAAAUAAAGAAAAACUUGAAUGAGUAGGUGUGUCCAAACUUUGAAUAGUACUGUAUAUACAGUUGAAGUCGUAAGUUUACAUACACUUGGAGUCAUUAAAACUCGUUUUCAACCACUCCACAAAUUUCUUGUUAACAAACUAUAGUUUUGGCAAGUCGGUUAGGACAUCUACUUUGUGCAUGACACAAGUAAUUUUUCCAAUAAUUGUUUACAGACAGAUUGUUUCACUUAUAAUUAAUUCACUGUAUCACAAUUCCAGUAGGUCAGAAGUUUACAUACACUAAGUUGACUGUGCCUUUAAACAGCUUGGGAAAUUCCAGAAAAUGAUGGCAUGGCUUUAGAAGCUUCUGAUAGGCUGAUUGACAUCAUUUUAGUCAAUUGGAGGUGUACCUGUGGAUGUAUUUCAAGGCCUACCUUCAAACUCAGUGCCUCUUUGCUUAACAUCAUGGGAAAAUUAAAAUAAAUCAGCCAAGACCUCAGAAAAACAAUUGUAGACUUUCACAAGUCUGGUUCAUCCUUCAGAGCAAUUUCCACACCCCUGAAAGUACCAUGUUCAUCUGUACAAACAAUAGCAAGCAAGUAUAAACACCAUGGGACCACGCAGCCGUCAUACCGCUAAGGAAGGAGACGCGUUCUGUCUCCUAGAGAUGAAUGUACUUUGGUGAGAAAAGUGCAAAUCAAUCCCAGAACAACAGCAAAGGACCUUGUGAAGAUGCUGGAGGAAACGGGUACAAAAGUAUCGAUAUCCACAGUAAAACAAGUCCUAUAUCGACAUAACUUGAAAGGCUGCUCAGCAAAGAAGAAGCCACUGCUCCAAAACCACCAUAAAAAAAGCCUGACUACGGUUUGCAACUGCACAUGGGGACAAAGAUUGUACUUUUUGGAGAAAUGUCCCCUGGUGUAAUGAAACAAAAAUAUAACUGUUUGGCCUUAAUGAUCAUCAUUAUGUUUGGAGGAAAAAGGGGGAGGCUUGCAAGCCGAAGAACACCAUCCCAACCGUGAAGCACGGGGGUGGCAGCAUCAUGUUGUGGGGGUGCUUUGCUGCAGGAGGGACUGGUGCACUUCACAAAAUAGAUGGCAUCAUGAGGGAGGAUGUGGAUGUAUUGAAGCAACAUCUCAAGACAAUUGAAGUUAAAGCUUGGUCACAAAUGGGUCUUCCAAAUGGACAAUGACCCCAAGCAUACUUCCAAAGUUGUGGCAAAAUGGCUUAAGGACAACAAAGUCAUGGUGUUGGAGUAGCCAUCACAAAGCCCUGACCUCAAUCCUAUAGAAAUGUGUGGGGAAAGUGUGUGCGAGCAAGUAGGCCGUACAAACCUGUCUCAGUUACACCAGCUCUGUCAGGAGGAAUUGGCCAAAAUUCACCUAACUUAUGGUUAAAACAUUUGACCCAAGUUAAACAAUUUAAAGGCAAUGCUACCCAAUACUAAUUGAGUGUAUUUAAACUUCUGACCCACUGGGAAUGUGAUGAAAGAAAUAAAAGCUGAAAUAAAUCAUUUUCUCUACUAUUAUUCUGACAUUUCACAUUCUUAAAAUAAAGUGGUGAUCCUAACUGACCUAAGAAAAGAGAAUUUUUACUAGGAUUAAAUGUCAGGAAUUGUGAAAAACUGAGUUUAAAUGUUUUUGGCUAAGGUGUAUGUAAACUUCCCGACUUCAAGUGUGUGUGUGUGUGUGUGUGUGUGUGUGUGUGUGUGUGUGUGUGUGUGUGUGUGUGUGUAUAUAUAUAUAUAUAUAUAUAUAUAUAUCACUAAGGGCUGGAGAAAUGUAACCACAUAACGUUAUAGCCAAUGAUUCUUGAAGAAUAUAACUUAUAAAUCACUCAUGAGCUUAGUUCAACUGCUAUACCCCAUCAGAACCCAAAAUACAAUAUUGUUUAACUCCAUUGUUUGUAAACAAUGACAUUUUAGGCUAACACUGUAUAGCGUCAAAACAUGAUUAAAACUGCAAUUGUAUUCCC